rnacentral:lncRNA from 1 species
GGUGGACCAAGGCGCCCAGUGGAGUCGCGAAGUGGCUGGCGAUGGCCGCGGAGAGGGUGAGUUGGAGCCUGGCCCGCAGUGGACGCCGUCUGGACGUCGAGGCCAAAGAGUGGCGCUCUUUAUAGAACGCACGUCGUGUGAUCCUCACAAUGCGGGCUGUGCAGCCGCUUACGUCCAGAGAAAGCAAGUUGGUCAUCGGGAGCCCUCGCUAGGAGGACAGGAUCCCCGAUUCGAAUCCCGGCCCGGACAUUUCCGGUCUGCCUGCAGUUGAGCACCGGCUGACGUCACUGAGCCGGGCCUCAGUUUUGUUAUCUGGUGAAGCGGGUUAAAGGAUGUGGUCAGCAUGGUCAGCCUCUGGGAAUCUAAAGUUAAAAUUUCUUGGUUUUAAGAUUUUUCUUAGUGUGUAUGCAUGGGUGUUCAGCCUGCAUGUAUGUUAACCCUGUGCACCAUAUGCGUGUAGUGCAGAUGGGAGUCAGAGAGAAGGUCGGAUCCUCCGGGGGACUAUUGUUAACUGCGUUUGGGAGCCGACUACUGAACCCAUGUCUUCUGUAAAAGCAGCCAGUGAUCUUAAUUGCUGAGCCAUCUUUCCAGCCCCACUUCCUUCGAAAUUUAAAAUGCCUACUAUGUGCCAGGCAGUCGGGCAGUGACCAGAAAAACAACUGCCUGUGCCUUUUGGAGGCUGCUGUUCUGGACUAGUGCUAUCAGAAACGUAUAUGCCACCCUGUUUGAUUGAAAACUUCUCUAUUGUCUCUACCUCUGUCCACCGUUUUUUAGCGUGUUUGUUUUCUUUUAGUCGGGAUCUUCCUAAGUAGUCCUGGCUUGGAACUUAUAAAUCACGCUGACCAUUGCCUCAUAGAGAUCUGCCUGCCUCUGUUUCCUGAUUGCUGGGGUUUAGGGUGAUGUUUCAUAUGAUCCAGGUUGGCCUUAAACUUUCUGUGUAACGAAGGAUGUCAGUGAAAUGAUCCUUUUGCUUUCAUCUCCCAAGUUCUAGGAUUACAGGCCUGCAACACAGCCGCUGCGUGUAGGUAACCUUUUAAAAGUAGUUCUACAGGAUUUGAAAAAAAGUUAUAUUCAAAAUUUUUAUAUUAUGUAUGUAUUUGUUUGUAUGUAUGUACGUGUUUUUAAAGGAUGGUGUUUGUGUAUAUGUGUAUAAUAUGUAUAUAUUAUAAUAUGCAUGUGUUUGUGUGACCAUCUAUGUGAGAGUCAAAGGGUUACUUGGAGGCGUCAGUUCUUCCGUCAUAAGAGAUAUGGGGGUUGAACUCAGGUUUACACUCAGCAACCAAUGUCUGUUCAGCUGAGUCAUCUUUAUAGCCUGCGAUGUCCUUUGUAAAAAAAAAAAUAUUUAUUCACUUAACAUCCCAAUUGCUGCCCCCACUCCUGGUCCCCUUCUCCUUCUCCUCUGAGAGGGUGGAGCCCCUCACCUUGGCAUAUCAAGUCUCUACAGGGAGAGGCACAACUUCUCUCUAAGGCAGACAAGGCAGCCCCGUUAGGGGAGCAUAUUCCGCUUGGGACAUCCUUCAUCAGCUCUGUACAGUAAAACUUUAAAGAAGCCACAAAAUUGUCAGCUAUAUGGCAACUUAAAUUUUAAAAUUAUUAACUUAUGGGCCAAGGGCGUAGCUUAGUGGUAAAGUACUUUCCUAGCACAUCCAAGGAGGUUCACAAAAGAAGAGGAAAGGGAAAAGAAGGACAUGGAUAUAGUUUGGUGGUUGAGUGUCUUCAUGACAUACACAAAGAGAUAAAGUAGAAGGGUCAAAAGUUCAUAGACAGGAUGGAAAGAUGGCUCAGCAUUUAUGAUUAGUGUUACAGAGAACCAUGAUUCAAUUCCCAUCAACCCAUCUAUUGACUCACAACUAACUUUAAUUGCAGUACCAAGGGAUAUAACACCCUCUUCUGUCCUCCAGGGGCACUGCACUCAUGUAUACAAAGCCACACUCAGACAUACAUAUACAUAUGUGACUCACAAAUAAAAAUACAAUCUUCCCUUUAAAAAGAAGUUCAUUCUUGACUAUGUAGCAAAUUCAAGACCAGCCUCAGCUACAUGUGACCCUUUUUUUUUAAAGUAAGUUAUUAGUUGAAAAGGUAAAAAUAACAGGUCUGCAAGAUGGUUGAGCAGGAUGAGGCACCACCUGACUGCCAUCUCCAGGACCCUCAUGCUAGAAAGAGAGAACUGACUCCUGCAAGUUGCCCUGCCUUGUUUAGCCUCUUUAGUAGAAGAUGUGGCCCUUACUUUCAUAUCCACACAUUGGCACACACACUGUUUGUUUGUUUAUUUUGUGUGAAACCCAGAUAUUUUUAGUAGCUUUACUUAACCAUAUUUCAACAUAUGAUCAAAGUUAAAAGUUAUGAGAUCUUUUGCCAGGAGGUGGUGGUGCAGGCCUCUAAUCUCAGCACCCAGGAGGUAGAGGCAGGUUUGAGGUCAGCCUGGUCAACAGAGCAAGGCUAUCCAGAGAAACCCUAUAUG